rnacentral:rRNA from 1 species
AGUGAACGCUGGCGGUAGGCCUAACACAUGCAAGUCGAACGGCAGCACAGUAAGAGCUUGCUCUUACGGGUGGCGAGUGGCGGACGGGUGAGGAAUACAUCGGAAUCUACUUUUUCGUGGGGGAUAACGUAGGGAAACUUACGCUAAUACCGCAUACGACCUACGGGUGAAAGCAGGGGAGCUUCGGACCUUGCGCGAUUGAAUGAGCCGAUGUCGGAUUAGCUAGUUGGCGGGGUAAAGGCCCACCAAGGCGACGAUCCGUAGCUGGUCUGAGAGGAUGAUCGGCGACACUGGAACUGAGACACGGUCCAGACUCCUACGGGAGGCAGCAGUGGGGAAUAUUGGGCAAUGGGCGCAAGCCUGAUGGAGCGAUGCCGCGUGGGUGAAGAAGGGCUUCGGGUUGUAAAGCGCUGUUGUUGGGGAAGAAGAGCAGCGGGUGGAGACGGGGCUGUUCUGACGGUACCGAAAGAGUAAGCGCCGGCUAACUUCGUG